GGCAAGGCAGAGUGUUGGGCAUGAGACCAGAACUUAGAAUGGGGAACACUGGAAAAUGUUCUGACAGUUACUAAGGUCCUCUCACUGACUGGCUGACUUUCCUUCUGGCUAUUGGUAGAGGCAGACAUCUUAGACCUGUGCUGGUGAGAGGGAAAAAGAUCUCUGUAAACCAUCUAAAAAGGUUUUCUACUUUCCUGACCGAGAGAAGUCAUCUCUAAGAAGAAGCUGGUAGAUCUGUUUUGCUGGAGAACAAUUUGGAGAAAAAAAAGGCUGAAGACUGCCUGGACACUGGGCCAUACCAGGGUUACCUUAUUUUCAGUUAGCAACUGCCAUCUUGGCUGACUGAAAUUAUAUGUACUUGGAGAUAUCAUUAUCAAAUUAGUCAGAUUAAUGUUUUGGGGUUAUGUUUUUAUUUUUGUUUUGUAAGUGCUAGGCAGAUUUGGUGUAGCUGGAAGAACCAAAGGCUUUGUCAUGAGAUAAAUGUAGAAGGUGGCUGUGUCAUCUAUACCAUUUUUGAAGCAUGCACCAGAGCAGAACUUCAUUUUUUCCCAUUCAAAAUCUCAAUCAAUCUCAGAUCUGGCAUUUGGUUAAAGUGGAUUUUGGUGCACAUAAAAUAAAACACAAGGAGUUUCAAC
rnacentral:lncRNA from 1 species